CAAAAAAUAUCUUUUUUGCUGGUAUGUCACGUUUGCCCAGGUCAUAUUGAAUGUUUUUCUUGGCUGUCUCAAUUUUCCCACACAAUAUAAUGAUAUUUCUCAUCUCUUUUUGCGACAGGGGCGAAAAUAGUUGGACUGCACUUCAAGAGCAACCGAACCCGUCUACCUGCAAAACGUACCUACACAAGAAUUCUGCAGCAUUAAAGUUUAUAUGGCAGAGCAAUGGAGAAGAAGAGUGAGUCACCUGGUUCCUCUCCACAUACUGGAUACUGUUGAUUUAGGUUCAUUUGCGAACCCAUCAAUCAUUUUACUUCUCGACAUACUGUUGCCAAUCUAAAUUACUUUCUUUUCAUACUUGUUCCAAUUGCUGGUUACCUGAUAUCCUCUCUCGUCUACCUUAAUCCGAUUAAGUGCGAUGUAUUUGCAACAUGCACGUGUGCAUUGUAACCAGCCUCAUUCCGAGCCUUUCCGCUUAUUUAUUUAUUAAAUUUUUAAUGUAUAUUCGUUAUUUAAUUAAUAUCUAAGCAUGGAUCGUAUGGUUACUAACUUAUUUCUUACUUCAUCCCUGAUAAUGACGGAUAAUAGAUGCAAAAAUGAAUGGUUUGGUGGUGGCCAACGAAACAAUCGACACUGCUACGGCUCUACUAAAACAAGUCACGUUCAACGGUUCAUCGGCUAAUAUUAACUCAAAAAAAAAAAAGAAUAAAAUAAGUAUAGUUCGGGGUCCGAGAUUUCUUUGAUAGUCCCUUGGACAUUCUAUUUUAGCAUUUCAACUAACAACUGAAAGGGCCGGAAAAUCUUUGAAAUUUUUAAAUCUGUUUAACUCAUCCCAAAGUAAUUGAGUGUCGGAAAAGAAAUGGCCCGAACGGUUUUAUGAACCGGUCCCUACUAAAGAAUAACAAAAUUCAAAUAUUGGAAAGGCAGGUUUUGGUUUUGAACGCAGUUGUUGGAUUGAAAAUAUAUUCCAUUGUACUUUGUACUUGAUAAUCAAAGUAAUCUUGUUGUUGAUCAUUAAAGGCGUAUCAACAGUGUUGGGGAAAAAGUUUACCUUGAAUCUUAUCUAGCAGCGGAAACUAAAUAAUUAUAUUUAUUAAAUUGUUA
rnacentral:misc_RNA from 1 species